GCCUCGGUAGCUCAGUUGGUAGAGCAGUUGACUCUUAAUCAAUUGGUCCUUGGUUCGAGUCCAAGCCGGGGUACCA
rnacentral:tRNA from 1 species